AGGAUUUAAAUAUGCAAAAGGGUGUUUCUAAACAAAGAAAUACCAAACACAAAAAGGCCUUUUAAAAUGUAAGUUUUAUUGAAAGACAAGAUGAGCAAGCAAAUUGAAAUUACAGAUGAUACACCAAUUGAUUCAAAUUCGGUUUUUGGACCUCUUCCAUUGGGCCACUCACAAGUCCAAAAAACUUUUGAGUUGGCCCUAAAUUUUGUGUUUUAAGCCAACAUUUAAAUGUGAGUGACUGCCAUUUUGUCACGUUCCUGGAAGGCAAUUUGCACACAGGAGAAAGCUGCUUUGUCAUAUAAUGUAAAUUACUCAAGAUCACAUGUCACCUCAGAGAGAUAUACUCUCGCUGAUUUGUAAAUUAAAGACAAGCCACAAAAGUUCCUAAUUCCUUCACAACAUAACUACUCAUGAGUUUCUGCUGAAAGACUGCCAUCAAAAGGCAAUAAAUCUUCAGGAAAUAAUAUCACAAUGCUAGCUCUAAAGCACUCAUGAUUUUUUUCCAACUUUCUCUGGAAUAUUUCUUCCAAAAGAAAGCAGAUGGCAAAAUACUCAGCGGGUCAACUUUUGUGUUCAGACACUCCCAGGGGUUUCCAUUAAUUCACGUUGUCUCUGCACAGACAUAGACAACAAGAGAAAUCGCUACCCAUCCUUCCUUAAGAUCACCACAUUUUUCCUUGCCUCACUAUCAGAAUUUGAAAUUAUUUGAAACCAUUAUUUGAAACCAGCAUGGCUGUUCAGUGCAUUCUGGAUUCAUAAGGGGUAAAGCAAAAUAACGCCUCUCGCUGAAUUGGAUUCACAGAUCAUGGACGUGCCUGGGUCCAACCCAAAUCCAUCCUUUUCCUGGCGAAGCCCUUCAACAGAUGACCUGACCUCACUGCUCCUCUGCCAACCCGGCCACCCAACCACACAAAACCAAGUCUUCUCUGAAAGUCACACAGCACUGCUGAGCUGAAGUGUCUCAAGAAGCUAAGUCAUUAUAGAGUACCAGAUUUAUUUAUUUACUGGUUUACUGGGGAAGAACAAAUUCCUUAGAGGACAGAUUUGCAGAAGAAUUCAGUGCUGACCUCAUUGUGUCAUUAUUGAUGUCAGCAAAACCUGCUGAAACAAAAUAAGCCCAAUGAUGGAUGAGUCUGAAAACCUCACAUGCUGUAAACCACGAAGAGGUUCACAGCACCUUCAUCCGCCGCACUGCUGCUAACGAACAAAGCCAGCCAGGAACAAGGGCUUCUGGCAGCUCAUGAGGGAGCGUGUCGGGCCACACAGCCCCAGAGCGGUGUCCCCAGCCGGAUGGGCGCCAGAGACGUGCGCUCGAGCAGGGGAGCCCCAUCCAUCGUGUUUGUGCCGAGGUCCCGGGUGUUGCCAGGGGUUACUGUGCACAGAGCGAGGGACGGGGGCCGCACAACGAGGGGAAAAGCGUUUCAGCCCAAAAAAGGAAAACAUCGGCUACAGAAACGCAACAGCAGAGGCAAACCACCAGAGAUAAUCGAAUGUUAAUAUAACCACAUUCCUUUCCAGUGUAAUGAAAAAACAUCAGAAAGCAUGAAGAACAUGUUUCAAGUAACAGAGGGGGUUUUCUAACAAUAAAUUCAGAUAACUCAUAUGCAACUGUAUGAAGACUAGAAAAGAGCCACUGCAGACCUACAAAAUCAGCUUGGCACACCUCCAUGAGAGCUGUGCUGAUGGGCCGGGGCCAGGCAGGACCCCCUCGCUCUGCUCCCAGCUGCUCCCAGUGCCCACAGCCACCACCAACCCUGAUCCAGCAGAGAACGAGGCUGAAAUAUUUGCUGCUGGCACCAACCAACCAUGAGGUUCAAUCAGUCCACAAGUGGGAGGCAGUAAACCUUUACGGCUGCGUCCGCACCAAUGGCAUCUCCUGAGCAGCUGUGCGGGGGAAAGGCGAAGGAGCCCCCCACAACACCUAUUCUGAAUGAAGGCAGCCAGCAAAACAGCCAACACCUAAAAGUCGCCUGCUCCAUCUUCAGACCACACACAUUUGCUGUUAGUCACCUAAAUGCAGGCUGUUCUUCAGGUGCUUUCAUUUCCCAAGCUUGCACACUGUGAGAAAAUAAUACUCCUGCUAGUACUAGGUUUAGAAAAAAAAACUUUAAAUUUUUAUAAGAGCCAAAAGCUGUUAGCUUGAGAGUCCUGUUUUCCAUAAAACUCACAUUCAUAACAAGCAAUAAAAAUGGAAGUUUGCUGCAGUAUAACUCACGAGUCUGUCUAAAACUUAGAUCUGAAGAGAUCUCCAUUAAAGGUAAAAUGUAGCAUAGGCUUCAUGCCAGAUCAUUCUUUUGUUUCUUUUCAAUAAGAGAAAGAGUGCCAACUAUGAUAAAGUUUUACAAGGAAGUCACCCAUGUUCUAACAACAUAACUGAAAUUAGCCAUUCAUUACAUGUAGGCUCUUAACUACUAAUUGACAUCUCUUUCCUUCUCAUCUCUGAGUAAGCCAAACUGUAUUUCUAACUCAACAUUGAUAUUUACUGCAUUCCAUAUAAAAUUAAAUAUUCCUCUAUAAGAAUUUUUAAGAGGAAUCAAAUGAAGAGACCUGACCUGCAAAGUGUGGUACUUGUCACGAUUUUUAUCAAUUUCUUUGAUAAGAUUCACAUUUAAGUCACAAAGUUGUAGCAGAACAUCAGAUGACACAUGCAGAAAAAGCAUGCUGCUCUGAGUCGUUUCUGCCUGCACACAGUGGAUUCACAGCACACUGAAAUCAAAAGCAGAUUUUGCAGAGACAGUAUUGAACUUGAGCUGCAACCAGCAGUAUGGAAAAGGUACGAUAUGCAGUGGGCUGCAACAAUGGUUCUGUCAAUUAACCCAGCUACAGUGCACUGCUACCAUAGCUGAGAGGACUACAGGCAAUCAUUGUAGCAUACUCCAAGGAACUUCUGAAAGAGUGAGCCCUACCUGUGAUCAAAUUAGUCGCUAAUCCCUAAUAUCCUAAGGGAUAUCCCUAAUAUCCUAAUAAAAAUAUCCCUAAUAACCUAAACUUAGAGGCUGAUGAACCAGACAGCAUCUCAAAAAAAUUGCUCUAUCCAGGAAUGUAACUCAGAAUGUUAAGUAUUAGAAAUGUAAAUUAUUAGAUCUGUCUCAUGCCCUUCUGCUGACAACAGGAGAAUCUCCUGCAACAUUAUUUUCUAGUGCUUUUGUGUGCUUGUUUUUUGUUGGUUUUUUUUUUAAUAUACACACUAUGUGGCAAAGAAUGUUGGCUAAACAGAAUAAGAAAGAUUUUAUUUUUACUUCAUUAUAGGUUUUGUUCAUGCCACAUGGUUGAUUUGCCUCAUUGCUGUCCCUUUGCUUUCCCACCCUUAAUAGGAGAGAUAGUAAUACCUGUCUGCUCCUUAAGACAUUCAUGCUGAUUACUUAUCACUUACCAAAAUCUUUCAAACUGAAAGAAGUGUCACAGAGGCAAUAUGAGACAUAAAUUUGUCUUUCACUGUUUCUUACUUCCUUUUUGUGUUGCGAGCCAAGACUCAUUUCUGAUAGCUAUCAUGUUCUAGUCCUUCUCUCAUCAAUUAUUUGAAGAAGUUACUGUCAUCCAAGGCUGUGUUUCUAAUGAUUUUUUUAGUUGUGUAAUUUAAAGAGUGCGAAAUCAUUCAAUUUCAUCUUAUUCUAGAGAUCACUAACUAUAAUUAUACAUGGAAAUGAUGAAAUGAACAAAAACUAGAUAUAGUCUAAUCCACUUUCAGGGUCUAGCAUAAGAAAUCCAGGUCAGUUAUGCUAAUUUCAAGCAGUGUAAAUUCAUCAGUGCUUCAGAAAAAUAAAACUGCUACCAAGUUAUGAAGCAAAAGUUUGUUCACAACAAGGAUUUAAUUUUCCCCACAUAAAUAGUGAAGCUAAAUAAAAAGAAAAAUUAUUCUCUUCUGACUAUUUAAUCAAUCAAGACUUGCAAGUCAAAUAUAAACACACCUUAAACACAAUCCCAAACCCAAAAGACACCCCUCUCCAAAACCUACAGCCCUCCCAAACCAAUUGAAAAAAAAACCAUAUUGCAAAAUUUCAUGUUAUGCAAAGAGUUCAAGGAGAUUGACCUUGGCUCUUUCAAAGGCUGUAAUAAGUAUUCUUUGAAGAAAAGAAAUGCCAGUGAGAACAGAUCCUUUCACACAUGAGAACAGUAAAUGAAAGACUCAGAAAUGGCUCUGACAUUAAGUUCCUUCUCAAGUAUUUCCUCAGUGGGGAAAAAAAAAAAGGAAGAAAUGCUGGGAGCACUGAGGGAGAAUGGGAUGAGGAUCCUGUGAAAGAAACUGCAACAACUAAUGAAGGACAUAUAGGGAAACACAUUAGGAAAAUGUGAACAAACAAAAAAAUCUAGACAACAUGCAACUACAGGACUUAAAAGAAUCAGCUGAACUCCUUUAUGUUCACUGUGCACAAACCAAAUAACUGAAAAAUUAACACAGAGGGAAAUACUAACAUUACCACCUUAAACAACAGCAAAGAUACUGCAGACAGAGCCUCGUAAAUCCCGUUUCUGUUCCUAGUGGUCACUCUGUCUUCAGUGAGCCUUGGGUGCAGGGCCUGGAGCAAGGACAGGGGACUAUCCAAGUGCAGAUGAGCUUUAAUAGGGGCACGAUGCUUUAUCUCACAGGAUCUUAGCUGAAAAAGUAAUUCACAUUGGCUCAGCCAUUUCCAUGUGGCUUUCAAGUUGCUGAGGUAAUGAAAUUACAGGAAAUAAGCUGCAAUGUAGCAAGGUGGUGGGAACCGUCUCCUGGCUGCCAUGUGGAUGACUGCUAGAAACAGUCUGUUGGACUUCUUUAUUAAUGAUCUGGAAAAGAGAGUGCACAGCACUUUGAUGAAACUCACAGAUAUGAGUGUGAAAGACAGAAAGACAGUGUGCAAAGAAAAUAAUAGAGAAUUUCCUAGAGAAGAUAGAACCAUGGAAACAAAAUAACUAAAGGAGACUCAGCUUGGUAAAUAAUGCAGCCUGGGAAAACAUCUGAGAAGGAGCAACAGGAAGGUGAAAUCUCAGAUGCAAUAAUGAUGUAAGAGAUGUAGGGAGACAGCUCACGCUAAAUGGCAUGAAUUGGUAAUGUGCUAUGGAGUGAAAAGGCCAAUAUUGCACUGAGAAAGAAACAAAUACCACUUUCUGCAUGCUGCUGGUACAGCUCCAUCUGGACUAUUAUACACAUUUCUGGACAUUGAAAAAUUUGAGAGUUCAGAGGAGAGCACCAAACAUGAUCCAAAGACUAAGAGGAUUGAUUUAUGAGGAGACAUUAGAAGAGUUAAAAAUAUAAAUUGCUUGACUUAGAAAUUAUUAAUGGGGGACAUGGUAACAGCCUAAUAUUUGAGAAGACCACCAGUGAAGGCAUUUUUCAGCAGGUUUCUCAAGGAACAUCAGAGUCCAGAGAGCAACUGAGAAGCAAAACCAUAUACUGAGUAUCAAGAAAUGCUUACUGAUCAUGAAUUAUCAUAAUCUGAGGAAUAAUUUUCUCAGUAGGAGAGAAAUGAGGCUUUUAUUUCUAGCUUUUAAACACAGACUUGAAGAACUCCUUAAGAAACCUAUGUACCCACAACUGUGAAAGUCUGAACUCCGACCUCUCUGAUCCAUUCCAGCUUAGCCAAGCUGGUUGCUGUCUACAGUUCCCUCUUCCACAAGAUGAUUUGGCCAUAUAUAUAAAGACAUUACAUUCUUAUUUGUGUAUCUUCCCACGCUUUUGCUACCCUGGCAUUCAACAAACUAAAAUAAAUAGCUGCUGUUGGUGAAGUACUUUUGUUACUUGAGGGCCAGUGAAAGUCUCAGCACCUGUCUUACCACUGCACGCAAAUAACAAACCAGCAGUCAGACACCUACAGAGCCUUUCAGUGACUGGGUUCUUGAUGAGCUACAUUCAAGGUGAAGAUGGCUAAUUAUGAGCCACACAGACAGUGAAGACUGCACACUCCACCGAGUGACCAAGAUACAGGCUACAGUUUUUCAUAAGGACAUCAUAAGAAGAAAGUAUUAUAAAAAGCAGUCACAGAUUCACCAUGUGAAGCGAUGGCCUCCAUGACUCCCCUGCAUUAAUCUCUAUCCUGUAUCCCUGUGCUGUAGCUGUGGAGCCUCAUUCAUUACUGCCAUGCUGUGGAUCCACCUUAGUCCCUCAACUCAGGGUGAUGGCUGGAGGGAGCCAGGUGCUGCAGAAAGCAAGUAUAUGCUGGAGACCUGCCCGUAUAACACAGGACCUAGCAUGGGCUGAGAGGGCAAACUGGUUCUCUUUGGACUGUGCAUAUUUCUGAGGGGAAUGACAAAAUUUUGUUGCAAAAAUUUGUGACGAUUUGGUAAAGAGGACUAAUUGGGGUGAGUCAUUGGUAAGAAUUCCAGGUUGUGAGCUGGAACAGCACAAGAAUUAUUUAAAUUUUUUAAAUUAUAAUUUGUCAUGAAGAAAAUGAGAACACUUCAUCCAAAGGCAAUUUUACAAGAGUGACUGCUUUGACACGAGCAGCGGACAAUAAGGGAGGUGCCAGCCCAGGAAAAUGUGCCAUUGGCAGGACACGCAUAGGAAGAUAAAAGCUAAAAAUCCUAGUGAACUCUCUGGCAUACCAGUAGAUAACAUUGCAGCUGAUGACAAUAAAGUUCCCACACUAAUACUUCAGUAGGAAAAGGUGCAAAUAAAGAGCUUAUCGAAAAGCA